ensembl:snoRNA small nucleolar RNA, H/ACA box 13
UGCCUUCAGUGUUGCCCGUUUAUCUUGGUUGCUAAUGAACGUGGUGUCAAAGAAGGCAUAAAACAAGUCUUCCCCUCUCGCAGCCCUCACCUGUGCUAGGGAUUGUUCCUACCAGGUUUGCUGUGUGGGGGACAUCC